rnacentral:lncRNA from 1 species
AGAAGGCAAAAUUAAUCCACAGGUUGGGCGAAAUCCUCAGGUGUGAAAUCCACAGGUUGGGCGUCAAUUUUUUUUAUCAAAACUGUAUUAUACUUUAUUAAAAUUUUCCCUUCAUUCUGGUAAUCAGAAAUCAUGUCCAUUUAUGAUAAUAAACAAAAUCCAACAAGAAUUUAUGUUGUACAGUUGUACAUUUGCCCCAGUACACGAAUUUGUAGCCCAUGUUUAGGUUGUUAAGUGCUAGAAUGUAGAAAGAAACAGCCAUGGCAGGACCUGUAAUAUUAUUUUCAUGGUUUUGAGUGUCGGUAAUCUGUACAGCAGAAGAAAAUAUUUCGAACUUCUUGAAUAUUUCUUAAUAUCAUUUCGUAAUUCGUAGGCUUUUGCAUCCUCAAAUUCUGCUAGAAAUGACCAAAUAACUCUUGCUACUAUAUCUGAUUUU